rnacentral:rRNA from 1 species
UGGCGGCACGCCUAACACAUGCAAGUCGAACGAAGUAGCAAUACUUAGUGGCAGACGGGUGAGUAACAUGUAGGUAUCUGCCCUUUGGCCUGGAAUAACACGAGGAAACUUGUGCUAAUACCGGAUAAGUCUUUACGGAGAAAGCUUUAUGCACCAUUGGAUGAGCCUGCACUUGAUUAGUUUGUUGGUGGGGUAAUGGCCUACCAAGACUGUGAUCAAUAGCUGAUUUGAGAGGAUGAUCAGCCACAUUGGGACUGAGACACGGCCCAAACUCCUACGGGAGGCAGCAGUGGGGAAUCUUGCACAAUGGAGGAAACUCUGAUGCAGCGAUGCCGCGUGAGUGAAGAAGGCCCUUGGGUUGUAAAGCUCUUUCGUCGGGGAAGAAAAUGACUGUACCCGAAUAAGAAGGUCCGGCUAACUUCGUGCCAGCAGCCGCGGUAAUACGAAGGGACCUAGCGUAGUUCGGAAUUACUGGGCUUAAAGAGUUCGUAGGUGGUUGAAAAAGUUGGUGGUGAAAUCCCAGAGCUUAACUCUGGAACUGCCAUCAAAACUUUUCAGCUAGAGUAUGAUAGAGGAAAGCAGAAUUUCUAGUGUAGAGGUGAAAUUCGUAGAUAUUAGAAAGAAUACCAAUUGCGAAGGCAGCUUUCUGGAUCAUUACU